CGGGACGGGUGAGUAAUGUCUGGGAAACGUGCCUGAUGGAGGGGGAUAACUACUGGAACGGUAGCUAAUACCGCAUAACGUCGCAAGACCAAAGAGGGGGACCUUCGGGCCUCUUGCCAUCGGAUGUGCCCAGAUGGGAUUAGCUAGUAGGUGGGGUAACGGCUCACCUAGGCGACGAUCCCUAGCUGGUCUGAGAGGAUGACCAGCCACACUGGAACUGAGACACGGUCCAG
rnacentral:rRNA from 1 species